UGCAAGUCGAACGNGACCUUCGGGUCUAGUGGCGCACGGGUGCGUAACGCGUGGGAACCUGCCUUUAGGUCGGAAUAACUCAGAGAAAUUUGAGCUAAUACCGGAUAAUGUCUUCGGACCAAAGAUUUAUCGCCUUUAGAUGGGCCCGCGUUGGAUUAGCUAGUUGGUGGGGUAAAGGCCUACCAAGGCGACGAUCCAUAGCUGGUCUGAGAGGAUGAUCAGCCACACUGGGACUGAGACACGGCCCAGACUCCUACGGGAGGCAGCAGUGGGGAAUAUUGGACAAUGGGCGAAAGCCUGAUCCAGCAAUGCCGCGUGAGUGAUGAAGGCCUUAGGGUUGUAAAGCUCUUUUACCCGAGAUGAUAAUGACAGUAUCGGGAGAAUAAGCUCCGGCUAACUCCGUG
rnacentral:rRNA from 1 species